rnacentral:rRNA from 1 species
GACGAACGCUGGCGGCGUGCUUAACACAUGCAAGUCGAGCGGCGCGGCGGACGGGUGAGUAACGCGUGAGUAACUGCCCCCCUCUCUGGGAUAACAGUUGGAAACGGCUGCUAAUACCGGAAAGUGGGGGAUGACUCGGGGCCUAUCAGCUUGUUGGUGGGGUAGUGGCGUACCAAGGGGACGCCGGGUGGCCGGCCUGGGAGGGCGACCGGCCACAGUGGGCUGGGAUACGGGCCAAAGGGCAACGGGGGGCAGCAGGGGGGAAUAUUGCACAAGGGGGGAAACGCUGAUGCAGCAACGCCGCGUGGGGGAGGACGGCCUUCGGGGGGGAAACCGCUUUCAGCCAUGACGCGGUAGUGGCAGAAGAAGCACCGGCUAACUACGUGCCAGCAGCCGCGGUAAUAC